GACUCUCUUUUCAAAAGUCGUAGAGAAGUCUCUCUUCUCGUCUCUCGACCUCACGCAAACCAUAUGAAUAACUUAUAACUUCCAAAAUAGAAAUGGUAGAUAAUAAACGGCGGC
rnacentral:sRNA from 1 species